GCGCAAAAAAAAAAAAAAAAAAAAAAAAAAAAAAAAAAAAAAAAAAAA
rnacentral:ribozyme from 13 species